rnacentral:lncRNA from 1 species
AGCAAAUGUGGGCACCUUUAGAAACAGAACAGCAAGGGGCUGCCAAAAUGUUGAUUUUUCAAAGAGGGAGGUUUUAAUCCUGUCACAAUAUUCUAUUCAAAACAAACAUUAUAUGCAGAAGAAGACAGCAACAUCAAGAAGAGCAAGACGCUUGCAAGACUGAGAUAAGACUAAGAUAGAAGACUUGCCAGAAAUGAGACCCAGGAGAAAGGCAUUGUUUCCUGCAAUUACACAGUUGCCAGGGAAACUGUGUAUGGAAGUUAGCCUAAGUGCAAGUAAAAAAAUGAAGCAUCUCA